CGUACCUUAGUUAAAGUAUUAUUUAUAUGUUUCCAGCGCUUUCAACUAUUUAUAUUAUUCAUAUGCCUGAUCGGGGCCUUUGCAAUGCCCGCCGAUGAAGAGUCCAAGAGUGCACCCAAACCUGAUAUUGAUAUCGCUGCGUUAACUCUAAAACCCCUAGCUCGUAGCGCCGAAGAGAUGAGUAAAGCUGCUAAAGAUACUCUAAAGACUGGGGGCGAUAUGCUGGCAACUAUGCUAGGAUGAAUGGAUUUGGCAUACCCAUGAAUAUAAUGCAGUGGCGACUUACAAUAAUUAAUGUAAGGAAUAUUUAACAACCGCAUAAUAAAAUGUGACUAAUAA